rnacentral:rRNA from 1 species
GCNUAAAGAGUGGUUAAGGACUAAUUAAACUAAAGCCGAACGCCCUCAAAGCUGUUAUACGCACUCGAGGGUACGAAGCCCCAUCACGAAAGUGGCUUUAACCCCCACCUGAACCCACGAAAGCUACGAACAACUUGGNUUAGAUACCCCACUAUGCUAGCCCUAAAAAUUGAUAGUAAUUCACCCCCCNAUCCGCCCGGAUACUACAAGCGUAAGCUUAAAACCCAAAGGACUUGGCGGUGCUUUAGACCCACCUAGAGGAGCCUGUCCUAGAACCGAUUCCCCCCGUUCAACCUCACCUCCCCUUGUUUUCCCGUCUAUAUACCACCGUCGUCAGCUGACCCUGUGAAGGUCUCUAUAGUAAGCAAAAUUGAUAAAUCCAAGAACGUCAGGUCGAGGUGUAGCGCAUGAGGAGGGAAGAGAUGGGCUACAUUCUCUACUACAGAGAAAUAACGAAUGUAAACAUACUGAAACGUAUAACUGAAGGAGGAUUUAGAGUAAGUGGAAAAUAGAAAGUCCCACUGAAA